AUGCAGCAGCCCAAGAAGUCUGCACUGGAAGUCCGGUUCUGGCAACUGAAAAACUGGCCCAUUCAGCAACGUCUUCCCCCACACCCUGCCACCAUCAUCAGCCUGCUAGGGAAGGUGGAGACACACCAUCGCCAAAGCCAAAAUGGACAUAUCCUCGUCACCUGCUGCGAUGGUGCCAGCCGGAGUGGAAUCUUCUGUGCUGCAAGUUUCCUGUGUGAGCAGAUCCAAAGUGAGGGGCUGGUGGAUGUAGCCCAGGCUGUGAGGACGCUGAAGAGGCGUCGGAGACAGCUGAUUAAAGAUGUGGUAGGUGCCGACUUCAAACUCAGCCAGGAUGGCAACACCAGAGCAAAAGCCACAGCCUGGACUGUCCCAGGAGCUGCCCUUGGGCCAGAAGGGGCAGAUGAGACCUCUGAAAACCCUAUUUUCUGCCACUGGAACAUGCCCAUUCACUCAGGAGUACAUGAUGCAGAAGCAUCCUGUGGGCUGAGUUGCCCCUAUCUGGUCCACCUGGCCUGCCCAGUGCUUCUGCGAGGUGCACUGGUGAAUGUUCAGGUGCUUGUCCUACACCCACCUCACCACCCAGUCUGGAUGCUAGAGGCCAUCAUAGGGUGAGCACCCUGGAUGGGAGUGAGUUGCAGCUGCAUCCUGCCAUGGAUGCUGGCUCUCCUCCCAAGACCAGAUGGCUCCAGAUUUGGUGUCCAGCUCUUAGCCAGCGCAUGCCUUUAAUUCCUCAGUGGUGGAAAGUGGACUCCAACCAGGAGGAGUAAAGUGGGUGGUACCUGCACCUGGCUUGCUCAGGAAGCUGUUGUCCACCAAGGCUGGCCUUCCACUCCAGGUGUUGGUGUAAUCAGGUUCUCACAUACACCUUUCUGUCCACAGGAGCAGUAUGGGCUCUGCUAUGAACUAGCCCUCAGUUACUUGAAUUCAUUUGAAACCUAUGGGAAUUUCAAGUAGAGGCAUGGCCACAGCCCAUCUCUGGCCAGGACUUUGACUCUCUUGACAGCCCUCCAUCAGUCACAGUGGUAACCAAAAGAGUCAAGAGGGGUGUGCACAGCUCCAAGAUGCUUAACUCCCAUGAAAAGCCAGCCCAAGUGUUCUCUGUGGCUGGAGUGCACAGGCUGGACCAUCUCCAAAUUGUGGUCAGACUUUGAAGAGGGAACAUGACCCUUUGCCCAGAGUUUGCACAGGAAUUUACCUGGAAUUACAGCCUGAGUAUGCAGAUCAGAGCAGAGGCACCAGGACUUGACUGUGCCAGGGAUGAAGAGAACCAGCUGUCUCAUCCAGGCUCCCUUGUACCUUCAGGCAGCCUCGGGGAAAGUGGGGUAGCUCCACCAACACCCAAACUGUGUUUUGCCAGGAGAGCAUCACUGUAAGAUCCGCAAGGCUCAGAAGCACAGGCUAUCUGUCCUACUUUGGGAGAAGCAUGAAGCCCAAGGCCAACAAAAGCCAGAGGAGGGACAAUCAACAGUCCCAUAGUGCUAGCCUGGUCCUUCCCCCCCGCCCAGUCCCUUCCUGGAGUUCCAUCUGCCUGAUGCUGAUGCAGGCACCACAGCCCUGCCAGCUCCAGAGAGGCUCCCUCACCAGCCUAUCUGACUCCACCAUGGAAAUCCCUGCCCGUAGCAGCCCACCUCAGAUGCACUGGAUGUUGUUCCAGAAGGCUGCUGCACCAUGGAGCCUAGUUCUGCUUUUGCUGCUUAAGGGCAAGGGGUAUUAGAGCCAGGACUGGCCCCAUGGCUCUGUUCUGUGUCUCAUCAAUAAAGACUCUGUGCCGUGGCCCUGGUGGUGUUGG
ensembl:lncRNA